UGCGCCUUGCCAGCCCGCUCAGAAACUCAAAUAGAAUUGACGGGGGCCCGCACAAGCGGCGGAGCAUGUGGAUUAAUUCGAUGCAACGCGAAGAACCUUACCUGGGUUUGACAUACACCGGAAAACCGUAGAGAUACGGUCCCCUUGUGGUCGGUGUACAGGUGGUGCAUGGCUGUCGUCAGCUCGUGUCGUGAGAUGUUGGGUUAAGUCCCGCAACGAGCGCAACCCUUGUCUUAUGUUGCCAGCACGUAAUGGUGGGGACUCGUAAGAGACUGCCGGGGUCAACUCGGAGGAAGGUGGGGACGACGUCAAGUCAUCAUGCCCCUUAUGUCCAGGGCUUCACACAUGCUACAAUGGCCAGUACAGAGGGCUGCGAGACCGUGAGGUGGAGCGAAUCCCUUAAAGCUGGUCUCAGUUCGGAUCGGGGUCUGCAACUCGACCCCGUGAAGUCGGAGUCGCUAGUAAUCGUGAAUCAGAAUGUCACGGUGAAUACGUUCCCGGGCCUU
rnacentral:rRNA from 1 species